AUGAGAAUCUAACAGCGCUAACCGUUGUCUGUGAAGGAGCACUUUGAUGUAUUUUUGAUGAGGCCGUCUGGCUUGCAUGUGCUCAGUCCCACGGUGAAAGACGCUAUGACCUAAGACAUGUAGCAUCUGCGCAAUAAACAGCUAACAAGACUAAACAAAUAGCCAAUGAAUGCAGCGACAGAACACUCCUGUUGUACCCUCGAACAAGACUUUUGAAUCACUUCCAUCUACUAAACGCAAGCGGUGAGUCAGCUCCAAAACAAUAGCUCAAAUGGCCCACUUAUGCCCCCUACUCAUGUCCACCUGGGCCCCCCAGAGAAGUUAGUCCGCCCCUGUUCCCAGCCAAAGGCGUGUGUGCAUCCCCCGCACACAAAACAGCCGGAGAGCUAAAAUUUCAGAAUUGGCGCACGUUGUCCUUCCAGUGUGACAGUCAUUGGAGACUGCCCCCUACAGGGAAAGAAGGGAAAAGCAUCGUCAGUAAGAUUUUGUACAGUCAAGGGCAAGG